UUCCAGACUCCUACGGGAGGCAGCAGUGAGGAAUAUUGGUCAAUGGCCGGAAGGCUGAACCAGCCAAGCCGCGUGAAGGACGAAGGUGCCAAGCAUUGUAAACUUCUUUUGUCAAGGGACAAAAUCAGGCUCGAGAGCCUGACCGAGGGUACUUGAAGAAAAAGCAUCGGCUAACUCCGUGCCAGCAGCCGCGGUAAUACGGAGGAUGCGAGCGUUAUCCGGAUUUAUUGGGUUUAAAGGGAGCGUAGGUGGAUUGUUAAGUCAGUUGUGAAAGUUUGCGGCUCAACCGUAAAAUUGCAGUUGAAACUGGCAGUCUUGAGUACAGUAGAGGUGGGCGGAAUUCGUGGUGUAGCGGUGAAAUGCUUAGAUAUCACGAAGAACUCCGAUUGCGAAGGCAGCUCACUGGACUGCAACUGACACUGAUGCUCGAAAGUGUGGGUAUCAAACAGGAUUAGAUACCCU
rnacentral:rRNA from 1 species